CCUCUCCUCUCUACCUAACUUCCCAUCACAGUCCCUUCAGUUUCCUUUAAGUCCCGUUAGUUUGGCUGCUCAGCCUACCUUAGUUAUCCCUCACUCAUCAAAGUCCUGCAAUUCCCAACCAAUCAGGGCGCUUGGAAAUGCGCAUCUGGACUCUGCACCCUCCCACUCAGGUCAGAGUGUUAUUGUCGUCGAAGGGAGAAGACGCAUCUUCCUGAGGACUUUUUAUUGUUGGCAGUAACACGAAUGUCUGAAUGUUGUGCGUGCAUAGAAAUAACCACAACAAUAAGUUUCCAAAUCAUUCGGAUUACCACAGUCAUAUAAACAUCUUCAAAGGAAACAGCUGUGUCUGUGUGUGGUGGUGACUAUCAAGAGUGCAGUGAUGGGCCUCAACAACAUGUUCCAACCGACAGCACUAUAGAGGACAGAACCAAACCAAUCAGUUGCAAGUCUAUAGCGGGUGAGGGUAUUCACAGCCGACCGCUCAGACGGGGAUUUGUGAAGAGACAGGCUAUUUUUGCCUGCAACACACCUGCUGGGCUCUGCCUUGCCUGCACCAACCAUUGCCAUGACGGGCGUCUUUGAGCUCUACACAAAAAGGAAUUUCCACUGUGACUGGCAAGUUUAAGUGCCAGCUGAAGUCUCCUAUUUUCCAAUCUACCCCUCAGUCAAGUCUUCCUGACAGCUGAACAUUGAUGGCUGAUUUCCUCUGUCCUUUUCCUUUUGCAGGGCAAAGACUGACAAAACAUUAAAAACCAAUACAAUCACAACUUCCAUGGCUGUUACUGUACCUGUGACAGACCUUACCCAGACACUGAUGAUCAGGUGUGGGUUUCAUUCCAGCGUUACGCACCCAUUCACUUUCUCCAUCACUAUUGAUGAAUGAAUGUUUUAUUUCUGUCGGAAUCAUACGCUAUGUUGAUAUGCUAGAUCUCUAGGAUUCAGUUAGUGUGUUGUUGAAAGAAGGAUGGCUAUGUCAUUCUAAAUCACAAAACACUGUGUCAUGGUCUUUAUAUUUCCCAUGAGGUUAAUGAGGAUAUGAUUCAGUGUAUCAUCUCUGAGGACUGGUAUCAUCCUAGGGUAUGUAUCGGGCUAACAUCAUGAUUGUUGUCAGUUCUCUUUCGAGAUCUAAACUAUGUUAGCCGGGAUAAUGGUUUUGGUACAAAGACAGGAAUGAUUACUCCUCCUUGACCAUGUGGGCCUCUCUGUGACAGCACUUGGGUUGUAUGGUGGAAAAGACUGAGGAGAUGGAGAGUGAGACCUGUAUGAGCAAAGCCCCCUUCCUUUGGACCUACUUCGCCCACUUAGCAGGUGUGUUAUUAUUCCUUCCACUGACAGAGAGUGCUAGGGAUCCAGAGCUCUGGGAUUGGGUUACAAAAAACACCAACCAUAAAUGAGUACUGCUUUUUAAAUCUCUUGCCCCUAGCUAACUAAAGAUUGGAGAUAACGGUACUGUUCAUUCAUUCAUUCAGUUGAGAUAAUGACAAAAGUGUGCAAAGCUAUCAUCAAGGGAAAGGGUGGCUAC